rnacentral:lncRNA from 1 species
CAUACUGUAAUUAUUUUUAGGGUUAAUUUUAUACAGGUUCCCGCAAACAUAGUAAAUUGCAGAUAUAUCUCUGCAAAGUUCAACUUUCAUAAGUUAUCACUAUAAAAGUCCUACUGUAUUCAGAUAUGUUCUCGCCGUUAGCAUUCCUCCUUCUUCUUCUUCGUCGUCGUCGUCGAUGAUCCGAUCGUCGUGCUCGCAUGGGCCGUCGUCACGAGCACUUCCGAAUCGGCCGCACCUUCACCUUCUGCCUCGCCACUGCGUGCCUCAGCUUUGUCCUCAUCGGCCGCAAUUUCGACAACCUCCGCGACGUCGCCGCCGCCGCCGCCGUCCGCUGCCGCAACUUGAAAAGGAAGAGAAAGAGGAAGAGGGCAAAAAUUGUUUUGGAGAGACAUAUUUGUGGGGGCAAAAAUGUUAUUUCGCAAGCCUACUACUAAACUAUAAACCGUUCUCUAACGGAUGCUAACCAUAGAUACAUAUCUGAAUACAUUAGAGACGUGUUUGGUUCGAAGUCGGAAUCGGAAUCAGAAUCGGAAUCAAAAUAAGCUGAAAUCGGAAUUGGAAUGACUAAUUACCUAAUUCUGCUUGGUUCAUCACUUGAAUCGGAAUCGGAAUAAAUCAUUUCCAUUAUCGCUGUUUGGUUCAGGUGGAUAUAAAAAACGUAAUCAAAUUAAUAUACUAACUUUAUCUUUAUAAUAUAUUAAUUUAAAUUCAAAUUGAAAAUUAAAUAUCAAAAAUUUACAUCAAAAUUUUGAAAUAAUGUAAAAAUUUUAAAUCUAUUUUUUAAAA